rnacentral:rRNA from 1 species
AGAGUUUGAUCCUGGCUCAGGAUGAACGCUGGCGGCGUGCCUAAUACAUGCAAGUCGAGCGAACGGACGAGAAGCUUGCUUCUCUGAUGUUAGCGGCGGACGGGUGAGUAACACGUGGAUAACCUACCUAUAAGACUGGGAUAACUUCGGGAAACCGGAGCUAAUACCGGAUAAUAUUUUGAACCGCAUGGUUCAAAAGUGAAAGACGGUCUUGCUGUCACUUAUAGAUGGAUCCGCGCUGCAUUAGCUAGUUGGUAAGGUAACGGCUUACCAAGGCAACGAUGCAUAGCCGACCUGAGAGGGUGAUCGGCCACACUGGAACUGAGACACGGUCCAGACUCCUACGGGAGGCAGCAGUAGGGAAUCUUCCGCAAUGGGCGAAAGCCUGACGGAGCAACGCCGCGUGAGUGAUGAAGGUCUUCGGAUCGUAAAACUCUGUUAUUAGGGAAGAACAUAUGUGUAAGUAACUGUGCACAUCUUGACGGUACCUAAUCAGAAAGCCACGGCUAACUACGUGCCAGCAGCCGCGGUAAUACGUAGGUGGCAAGCGUUAUCCGGAAUUAUUGGGCGUAAAGCGCGCGUAGGCGGUUUUUUAAGUCUGAUGUGAAAGCCCACGGCUCAACCGUGGAGGGUCAUUGGAAACUGGAAAACUUGAGUGCAGAAGAGGAAAGUGGAAUUCCAUGUGUAGCGGUGAAAUGCGCAGAGAUAUGGAGGAACACCAGUGGCGAAGGCGACUUUCUGGUCUGUAACUGACGCUGAUGUGCGAAAGCGUGGGGAUCAAACAGGAUUAGAUACCCUGGUAGUCCACGCCGUAAACGAUGAGUGCUAAGUGUUAGGGGGUUUCCGCCCCUUAGUGCUGCAGCUAACGCAUUAAGCACUCCGCCUGGGGAGUACGACCGCAAGGUUGAAACUCAAAGGAAUUGACGGGGGCCCGCACAAGCGGUGGAGCAUGUGGUUUAAUUCGAAGCAACGCGAAGAACCUUACCAGGUCUUGACAUCCUUUGACCACUCUAGAGAUAGAGCUUCCCCUUCGGGGGCAAAGUGACAGGUGGUGCAUGGUUGUCGUCAGCUCGUGUCGUGAGAUGUUGGGUUAAGUCCCGCAACGAGCGCAACCCUUAAGCUUAGUUGCCAUCAUUAAGUUGGGCACUCUAAGUUGACUGCCGGUGACAAACCGGAGGAAGGUGGGGAUGACGUCAAAUCAUCAUGCCCCUUAUGAUUUGGGCUACACACGUGCUACAAUGGACAAUACAAAGGGCAGCGAAACCGCGAGGUCAAGCAAAUCCCAUAAAGUUGUUCUCAGUUCGGAUUGUAGUCUGCAACUCGACUACAUGAAGCUGGAAUCGCUAGUAAUCGUAGAUCAGCAUGCUACGGUGAAUACGUUCCCGGGUCUUGUACACACCGCCCGUCACACCACGAGAGUUUGUAACACCCGAAGCCGGUGGAGUAACCUUUUAGGAGCUAGCCGUCGAAGGUGGGACAAAUGAUUGGGGUGAAGUCGUAACAAGGUAGCCGUAUCGGAAGGUGCGGCUG